AUGCCACUUUUCAUGGUCAUCGAUUUGUCACCCGAGACAUUUUCGUUGGGAGUGCCCCCUUUUCCUGUUAGUGCUGACCUUUACCAAUCAUUUGCUUCCUAUGUUUACAUGGAUUGCAGUGGACCAUAUUGCGCUCUUAUUUUAUUUUUAGCUAGGAAUGGCUUGCUAACAUAUUUGGUAAAUCGACAGGUGUUCCAGUUUUCGUCUAGAUUUCUGCUGAAUUUGGUUUCUGGUGUGAGCAUUUUCGUGGAUGCAUGGAUCAAGCGGGAUUGUGUUGUCUCAGUUGUUGGAUUUAUGUCAAUGCCGUAG
rnacentral:rRNA from 1 species